rnacentral:lncRNA from 1 species
GCUGAGUUUGGGGGAGCAGAAGAGUCUCGCGGGGAUAGUCAGUGCGCAGGGAGACUAGCACAGGCCGGCAGAGAAGUGACCCAGCCCCGGAUUGCCUGGUAACCUUCCGUUCCCAGGAGGCUGCUGUGAGGCUCCUCUGGAAGUGAGAGUUCAGAGAGCAGAGACAACUGUCCAGAGCUAGACCUUGAAGACUCCUCAACGCUGAAGGUCACCGAGAGGAGGGACAGCCAAGGAAACUGAGUCGCAGCAGCCGUGGAGGCAGGCGGGUGAGCACAGAGGGCAACAGAGGGGAGGUUUCUCUGAGCAGCGGGGGUGGCCGCGUUGGAUGUUACUAGGAGGACUGAUAAGAUGGGAAGGGGCAGCCAAAGCCAGCCUGCAGUGAAUUGAAGGGGGAACAUGAGGAGAGGAAGCCGAGGCAGCCAACGUACCCACCACCGUCAGGAAGCCCUGCAGUGCUGGCUGGGGCAGGGGGCAGAUUGAGUAGAGGCCACCGGAGGGCCAGUAAGAUUGGGCAGGUCUUCAUCGGUGACCUUUGGAUGGGUUCCCUGCCUGGAAACAUAGAGACAAAUCCUGACUGCCCUUGAAUUGGCAGUGGGACCUCAGGCAAAUUGAGUUGAGUGAGAGAUAGUAUAUAAGGGUGUUUUAAUGUGUGCUGAGUGAUACAGAGUGGGAGGGAUGAACACCCCAUGGUAGGUACAUGCACACAGGGGGACCCCGCUCAGCAACAGCAGGGGACAAGCUACUGAAACCCACAGCAACGAGGACAGAUUUCAGAAUCGCUACAGGGAGGGAAAGAAGCCAGAAUUCAGAAGGGCACCUGCAGUACAAAUCAUUUCUAAGAAGUUUUAGAACAGGAAACACUCAUCUAUAAUGAAAUAAAAACCUGAACAGGGGUUGCCGCAGGGGGCAGUGUGGGGGUGGCCUGACUGGCAAGGGACACGAAGGAACCUUCUGAGGGGACGGGAACAUCCUUCCCUUGGGAGGAGUCUGAUUUAACAGAUGUCUGCAUUUGUCACAAUCCAGCAAAUGGUGCACUUAAGAUUGGAACAUUUCACUCUAUGUAAAUUUUACCUAAAAUGAACUAUAAAGGCAUUCCUGAAUGCUACUUAAUGAUAUACAUGUGGAGACCUUUGGGAGUGAAGUGUACUGAGGUUUGUGGCUCCCCUUGAAAGGUGGAAAACAAUAAGAUGAAGUAAUGGGUAGAUGCAGAGCUGUGUGAUGAAGAGAUACAGUAAAAUGCCAUCUAGGGGGUACAUAUGUGGGUGUUCACUGGAAAAUGCAUUCAACUUUUCUGUGUGUUUGAAAAUCUUUAUAAUAAAAUGUUGAGGGGAAAUUUAAAAAAAAGGAUGUGAAACUACUUUUCUUUUCUUUUUUUUUUUUUUUUUUUGAGACAGAGUUUCGCUCUUUGUUGCCCAGGCUGGAGUGCAGUGGUGUGAUCUCG